GUAGGUGGCAAGCGUUGUCCGGAAUUAUUGGGCGUAAAGCGCGCGCAGGUGGGUUCUUUAAGUCUGAUGUGAAAGCCCCCGGGCUCAACCGGGGAGGGUCAUUGGAAACUGGGGAACUUGAGUGCAGGAGAGGAAAGUGGAAUUCCACGUGUAGCGGUGAAAUGCGUAGAUAUGUGGAGGAACACCAGUGGCGAAGGCGACUUUCUGGCCUGUAACUGACACUGAGGCGCGAAAGCGUGGGGAGCAAACAGGAUUAGAUACCCUGGUAGUCCACGCCGUAAACGAUGAGUGCUAAGUGUUGGGGGGUUUCCGCCCCUCAGUGCUGCAGCUAACGCAUUAAGCACUCCGCCUGGGGAGUACGGUCGCGAGACUG
rnacentral:rRNA from 1 species